rnacentral:rRNA from 1 species
UACAGGGGGGCAAGCGUUGUUCGGAAUUACUGGGCGUAAAGGGCUCGUAGGCGGCCAACUAAGUCAGACGUGAAAUCCCUCGGCUUAACCGGGGAACUGCAUCUGAUACUGGAUGGCUUGAGUUCGGGAGAGGGAUGCGGAAUUCCAGGUGUAGCGGUGAAAUGCGUAGAUAUCUGGAGGAACACCGGUGGCGAAGGCGGCAUCCUGGACCGGCACUGACGCUGAGGAGCGAAGCCAGGGAGCAAACGGG